UACGAAGGGUGCGAGCGUUAUUCGGAAUUAUUGGGCGUAAAGGGUGCGUAGGCGGCAUGUUAAGUCAACUGUUAAAGCCCCCAGCCUAACUGGGGAUCGGCGGUAGAUACUGAUGUGCUAGAGGGUGGAAGAGAGAAGUGGAAUUCUUGGAGUAGCGGUAAAAUGCGUAGAUCUCAAGGGGAACACCGAUGGCGAAGGCAGCUUCUUGGUCCACAUCUGACGCUGAUGCACGAAAGCUUGGGGAGCAAACAGG
rnacentral:rRNA from 1 species